UUGAUAGAGUAUAUAAUAAUAGAUAUUAUAAACCAUUAUGAACAUUAAAAUAAGCUUUAUAAAGAUAUGGAUGGCAAUGAUAAACAUAAUCUCAGAUUUAAUUUGCUCAGUGAAAAUAAAGAUGUUUCUUAACGAUGGAUUCAAAUUCUUACUUGCACCUCCAACCAAAAUUAUUUUGCUCAUAAAUAAUCAACAAACUACAUCAUCAGAUUUAAUCUUCUUAUUGCUAGAUGCAUCAUAAUCGUUCCAGUUUCUAAUCAAUCUUCUUGUCAUAGUCAUUCCUGCACUUGCACUUACAACAGACGAAACACGUGUUCUUGGUGAUCAUACAAGCCUUGUAAUAAAAAAAUAGUAAUCAAACACGAGAAUUAACAAGAUUCACAAGUGAAAACAAAUACAAAUUUUUUUUGAGCAUAUACAUGACUUUUUCCUAUGUCAUUUCUUCUUGUAAUCAGAAGCAAAAUACCAAGUUUAGACAAACCCUAAAAACUCCAAACACUUGAACAAACAUUAUAUUAUUUUUCCAACUAUCACAGAUAAUCAUAAUCAACAAAGCUUUAAUAAUUAUAUGAUCACAGGACAUCAUUAUUUUAAUCCUCAAUGCUCAAAAAAUUAAGAAUCACAAUCAAAUUUUGGUUAUUACCCUAAGUUGAUUGCUUAGAAUUACUAGUAAUAACUUUAAAAGCAAAUCCAAACAGCCCUAAAUUGAUAAGUUUAGGGAAAAACAUGAGAGCAACAUUUUUUAGAAAAAAUCUAAAAACAUGUAUGCCAAUUUAGAAUUUUGGUUGAAAGCAAAUUUGAUGUACAAAAACCACAUAUAUACAAUAAAUAAAUGCCAUAACUUUACUUAUAAUAGAAAAACAUGUAUAGAAGAAGAAAACUACUUACAAAGAGGCCGAUGAGGAGUGGUGGUCUCAAAGAAACGCAUCUAAUUCCAAAUGUAGAAACUGCAAAAAAAAAAAUCAUCAAAAUUAAUGAUAUAGGACAGAAAUCAAGAGUUUGAAGGAUAGAAAAUAUAAGGUACUUGCAAUGAUAAGCCUUCCACCAGUAGAUGACAAGUAGAUGACAACUGCAACUCAUAUUCUGAUCUAUUACCAAAAGGGCAUUUACGUCUUUUUGCAUAGUAAUGAAGUAAUAUAAAGUAAUGAGUACUGACCUUGACUUGCUUAAUGAAAGAAACAGCAUUCAACAUUCCACUUCUUGAUAAUCAGACCAAAUUAAAGCGUUAUAAGAAGAGAUUUAGGGAUUUAAAACAUAAUAGGAAGAUAUAAAUCAUAAUUAGAAGAGAUAUAUCUCUGCAUCUACAGUAUUGACACUUCCCUUAUGCAUGAUUUAGAUCUUUAGCAAGCUCAUAUGUAAUCAAUACCAAUCGAAUGUAGUGAUUGCAUGUAAUCAAACCUGAAAACAAAAAGAAAUUCCUCAACAUUUUUAUAUCCCCUUCUUAAUUACAAUUGAGAACAAAUUUGUGGAAAGACUUAUCAAAAACAUCAUAGAAGAUCAACUCCUAACUUAUCAACAAGAGUGUCACCUAAUCAGCAAUCUCAAAUAAAACAUGUUUAGGGCUUACCUUUACACUCGAUUAUAGGCUUCUAAGCUCUUGUACUGUUGAGAUGAAGACCCAAAAAAAACCGAGAAAACACCAAUGGGGAUAUGGGGCUAUUUCGUGAGAAACUCAUUGAAAAAUGUUCUGAUAGGAGAAGGAAGGAGCCUAAUGGCAUCGAUCCUAGAAUUCUUAAUUCCAUCUCAACUCGAUUCGUGAUCUGACUUGGCACAUUAUCCAGAUCGACGGUUUUAUAUUGUUUUCUCCACAAAAUCGUCAGUACCUUGAUUAUGAAGAGAAGUUGUUCAUACUAUUUUCAACCAGCCAAUAGAGGAUGAACAAGGGUUAGGGGAAACACGAUCGACGAUAUGGGCUAAGGCGCGAUGUGGAGGAGCCAGGGUGGAGGGACGGAUAGGUAACGAUGACCCCAUGAGAGAAAAACGAAAUAACGAACCCUAGUGGUUUAGAUUAUGUUGGGGGUAAUGGGAAUUUGGAAACCUGAGCGGGAUGUGAGUUGAUUUUCAAUAUUCAGGAUUGACAUCUUCGAUUGUCGAUAGCAGACGUUUAGAUCGAUGGUGCAAUGGAGAACGCGAACAUUGAAGAUAAUAGAUAUUAGGUUUAAAGAGGAGGGAAUUACUAAAUCUAAAAAAUUUCACGUAGAGGGAAUCUGAAACUUUU
rnacentral:lncRNA from 1 species